rnacentral:rRNA from 1 species
CCUACGGGUGGCAGCAGUGGGGAAUAUUGCACAAUGGGGGAAACCCUGAUGCAGCAACGCCGCGUGAGUGAAGAAGUAUUUCGGUAUGUAAAGCUCUAUCAGCAGGGAAGAAGAUGACGGUACCUGAGUAAGAAGCCCCGGCUAACUACGUGCCAGCAGCCGCGGUUAUAAGUAGGGGGCAAACGUUAUCCGGAUUUACUGGGUGUUAAGGGAGCGUAGACGGGGCGACAAGUCUGAAGUGAAAGGCCGGGGCUCAACCCCGGGCCAGCUUUGGAAACUGCCUGUCUGGAGUGCUGGAGAGGCAAGCGGAAUUCGUAGUGUAGCGGUGAAAUGCGUAGAUAUUAGGAAGAACACCGGUGGCGAAGGCAGCUUGCUGGACAGUAACUGACGUUGAGGCUCGAAAGCGUGGGGAGCAAACAGGAUUAGAUACCCCAGUAGUC